UCAACCAAAAAAGGUUUGUCAUAAGUUAAUUAAGUGCAGCUUUCUGAGGCGUAACUGCAACAUCCCCUUUGUUUUUUGUUUUUUUAAACACGAUACUGGCACAGCUAUAGCUAAUACACAUACAUACAUAAAUGUUCAUACUGUCUGUGCAAUGUGAUCUGAGACAUCUGAGGUCAUUCUAUCACAGUAUAUUUCUCAAACAAGACUGCAGGAUUCUUCACAUUAUAUACUGAAAGCACAGAAUGGAUUUUAUAUUGCGUGUAGUUUCCACUGUGUUACAAGCAGAUGAGCAUUUCAAACGCAUUACAAUUUGAAAUAAAAACAUAGCAGGAAGCGCAUGGUGUUUGAAAAGGAUAUUCAAUUUAAGAUUUCUUAAAUACAGCUACUUGUCUCUAUAUUACAUACUUAUUCCCUAAUAACAAAUAGAGGAAACGUUUGUAGCUUUUUGCACAUAAAAUGGUUAAUAGUGGACCGUACCGCAGCCUGCACUAGAGCUUCACUUGAAGUGUUUACGUAAGAAAUCUGGAAACCAGCACGUGACUGGAGACGUGAAUGAUCCCUAUUGUCCUAGUUCUUCCAUUUGGAAGCUGUCACCAAUGAUGUUAUUCACUUUACAUGAAUUUGCAUGAGUGAGUACCACCUCGUGUCUGUGUUACCUUCUGGCUCGCCCUGUUAGUUACUUACGUUUGUUCAUUUAGCAGACACUUUUAUCCAAAGAGACUUACAAAUGAGGAAAUACAAGCAAAGUGAUAUCUCAAGCGGAGAACAAUAUAAGUGGUGCUACCAUACAAGAUCUUUUGAGCUCUAGAAAAGCAAAGUGCACAGAGCAGAGGUGUAAGUGCCAGAGUAGGUUCUGUUGUUUUUUUAAGGAUAAUGUGGGGUUGUUAAGUUAGGGGUUGGUUAGGUGUUCAUGGAAGAUGUGGGUCUUUAGCUGUUUUCUGAAGAUAGUGACAGAUUCUGCGGGCCGGAUUGAGGUUGGAAGUUCAUUCCACCACUGAGGGACAGUUAGUUUGAAGGUUCUGGAAAGGGACCUUGAGCCACACAGAGUAGGCACUACAAAGCAUCGGUCAUUAAUUGAUCGUAGAUUGCGUGAGGGAAAGUAAGCCUUCAGGAGAUAGUUGAGGUAUGGGGGUGCUGUUCCAGACAAGGUUUUGUACGUGAGCAUCAAGGCCUCGAAUUUGAUUACGGGCGGCUACAUGAAGCCAGUGGAGGGAGAUGAAGAGGGGUGUGACAUGGGUUCUUUUGGGCUUGUUGAAAAGUUAUGCUGCCGUAGUCAGUCUUGCCCCACUCACACAAAGUACAUUGUCCUUAACCAUUACAUGACAAUAAGCGUAACUAAUAAUCACUCCCUCUCUGUCGAGCUACACACGUUACUCCUGAGAUACCAGUGAUCCUGACCCCUUCUGCUUUCUGGACCUGCCCGAUCUAUCCUGAUGCCCUUCUUUUGGUUGGAGUUCUCAUCAAUUGGAAGUCACAUGCUGCUGCUGAGGAUGACCCCACAUGGGGCAGCCUAAAGAUCAUUGAGACUGCUGAAGAUGGUACCACUUAAAGCCCAUAAAGCUGGCUUUGGACCAAAAUUCAUAUGAACAGUUAUGCUAUGAUGGCUUAGGACUACAGUUGCCACAGUUUUGCACUCAAGUCUCCAUCAGUGAACAGUGGUGUAAUGUGUGGCACAGAGGAAAACUGACCAAAGUCAGCCUGGAGAAGGGGAUCAAUGAAGGUCAAACUGCAACAAGCUCAAAUGGCAAAAGGCAGGAUGAAGGAAGCUGGACUCUGAGAAGUGAUUAUAGACAAGUUUGCAUUUCUGUGAGAGGAAAAACACAGUAUUCAAACUGCAUUCCUUUGCUUUUCAUCCAUUAUAACCAUCUUUUUUCUGUACCACUUAUCCUUCACGGGGCCACGGGGAACUGGAGCCUAUCCCAGGGGACUCUCAGCACGAGGUGCGGUUCACCAUGGAUGGGGUGCCACAAUCGCGCACACACACUACAGACUAUUUGGACAUGCCAAAUCAGCCUACAAUGCAUGACUUUAGACUCAAGGAGGAAACCGGAGCACCCAGAGGAAACCCCCAAAGCACGGGGAGAACAUGCAAACUCUGCACACACAGGGCGGAGGUGGGAAUCGAACCGCCAAUCCCGGAGUGCUAAUACAGUGCAGUGGAGGGUCAAUGGGUUACUGAUCAGGAGGGCGGGGGUUCAAGCCCCAGCACCGCCAAGCUGCCACUGCUGGGCCCUUGAGCAAGUCCCUUAACCCUCUCUGCUGCAGUGUGCCGUAUCGUGGCUGAUCCUGCGCUCUGACCCCAACUUGUGUGAAGAAGGAAUUUCACUGUGCUGUAAAGUAUAUGUGACAAAUAAAGGCUU